CAGAGGUGGCAAGCGUUGUUCGGAAUUACUGGGCGUAAAGGGCGCGUAGGCGGCCUUCUAAGUCAGACGUGAAAUCCCCCGGCUUAACCUGGGAACUGCGUCUGAUACUGGAAGGCUUGAAUGCGGGAGAGGGAUGUAGAAUUCCAGGUGUAGCGGUGAAAUGCGUAGAUAUCUGGAGGAAUACCGGUGGCGAAGGCGGCAUCCUGGACCGACAUUGACGCUGAGGCGCGAAAGCUAGGGUAGCAAACGGGAUUAGAUACCCCGGUAGUCCUAGCCCUAAACGAUGAGUGCUUGGUGUGGCGGGUAUCGAUCCCUGCCGUGCCGAAGCUAACGCAUUAAGCACUCCGCCUGGGGAGUACGGUCGCAAGGCUG
rnacentral:rRNA from 1 species